GACGAACGCUGGCGGCGUGCUUAACACAUGCAAGUCGAACGGAAAGGCCCCUUUGGGGGUACUCGAGUGGCGAACGGGUGAGUAACGCGUGAGUAACCUGCCCUUGACUUCGGGAUAACUUCAGGAAACUGGGGCUAAUACCGGAUAGGAAUCCUUGCUGCAUGGGGGGGGUUGGAAAGCUUCGGCGGUUUUGGCUGGACUCGCGGCUUAUCAGCUUGUUGGUGGGGUAGUGGCUUACCAAGGCUGUGUCGGGUAGCCGGCCUGCGGGGGCGACCGGCCACCUUGGGACUGAGAGACGGCCCAGACUCCGACGGGAGGCAGAAGGGGGGAAUAUUGCACAAUGGGCGGAAGCCGGGUGCAGAAACGCCGCGGGCGGGAUGACGGCCUUCGGAUUGUAAACCGCUUUCAGCAGGGGCGAAGCUUGUGGUGACGGUACCUGCAGAAGAAGCACCGGCUAACUACGUG
rnacentral:rRNA from 1 species